UGAUAUGAAGUCAGCCAGUCAGAAGGCUGGGAAAGCUCUGUCAGAGACUGAAACAAAAGAACUUCUGGACUAUGCAGAGAAGAUUGGUGAUGUUAAUCGACCAGCCUCGGCCCUGGACAUUUAUGUCCUCACAAACAGUGACCUGCUCCAUGGUAAAGGCAUCCAGUUCAAAGUGGUGGAUCAAAAUGGGAAAACGCUCUCAGAGGAGUCCUACCCGGGAACGAACAGCUCAGCCGGCCAAAUCACUCUACGGCUGACCAAAGAGCCUGAGAAAACACACAGUGAGAAAGGAAUCCUCUCUAAAGCAAAAGACAGAAUCCAAGGAGUGGAAAGUCCAUACAGUGGUCACUUUGACAUCAUCCAAGAUGGCAAAGUAAUCCCUGUGCGCUCAGAGAACAAGAACUGCCUGUACCAUGCCCUAGCACAGGCAACAUCUAACAGGUCUGAGGAUGAGAUCACGAGUCAAGCUGUGAAUCUACGAAACAAUGUUAAAGACCAGAUUAAAGGGAGCCUUCAGGCUUAUAGUGAAAUGGUUCAAACCCAGAAGGCCUAUGAUGCACUCGAGAAAAAUCAUGGAAAAUAUGCUAUAGUUGGAGGGGCCAGGAAUAGGAAACGGACGAAUGAUGAUAUGAACAGGAUAUCAGGCCCAUGAAGAAUUGUCCUUAUAGUUCCUCAGGGAUAAAUGAGUAUGACAUAGCCUUUACGUACCACCUUGGAUUAGUUGGUCCUUAUAAAAGCGUCAAAAACACCAAACUUUUCUCUGACAACAUGGGGGAAAGAGGCAUUGUGGAGGCAGACCAUAUCCCACCAAAGAAUUCCCUGAAGCUGGCCAGAGACCAAAAAUCUCAGAUGAAAAAAUUUUCAACAGAAGAAUCCGAAGCUUUAUGAUAUGAUUUAACAGCAUUGAAUCAGAUCAAAAUGGAGGGAACCUGCUCACAAUGCGGGUUCUCAAACAGCAUCACAGGAAUGCUCUAACCACUGGAAGGAGUAAGACAUCUGUCAUCUGCAGGAAGCGGAGAUGUGGAGAAAUCACUGAAGUUAUCUUUCAUCAUGGCUCAUCCUAUUGCUUCCGACCAGCUCAGAGACAAAGCAGGAAAGCCCAAUAAACUUACCCUGGGAUCCAUUGAUUUAUCUCCUGAAGGAACAGUGUUCUACUAUAAAGCUGGCUUCAAUCAGAUGCUGAAUCACCAUAGUAAAGAGGGGAUCAUCGACCAGAAUCAGCAGGCGAGGCUGAAGUCCUGGGUGUCCGAUAAGAAGUACAUGGACCCGGACACCCCAGAGUACAACGACAUCCUUGCAGCCAUCCAGUAACACAACCUCCACUGGAGACAUGUUAGGAAAGGGAUAAAAUCAUACUUUUAUAUUCAGCAUAUGAAUAUCAUGAAUUUAGUAUAAUCAUAAGGUGAAUAAUUUCUUGUUGAACCUUAGGUGAAUGACAAUUUGACCUUUCUACUGCUGCAUAAUUACUAUACUUUUUUGUUUGUGCUUCCACAAGGUAGCCUAUGGCUUUUCAAAAUAGAUACAGUAACUUAUGUGCAAGGUGCAUGAGAUGUAAGCUUGCUAAAACAACUAUAGGUUCUUUACAGUAAACUGUAAAUUGACUUUUGAUUUUGUUUCAUUCAAUACUGUAUACUAUACUGGAUGCCAAAGUUAAUUUCUCAAUGUCAUAAUAUUUACUGAUGUCAUAAUAUUUAAUGUUUGUAGUUUCUUAGUGUUCCAUUUUAGUGUAAUGAUCAUGAUAACCUUUUAAAAUCAAAUCAGAAUGUAUUUGUC